rnacentral:rRNA from 1 species
GUUCUUACGGCCAUUCACACCAGAAAGCACCAAAUCCCGUCCGAUCUUUGAAGUUAAGCUGGUGAUGGCGUCGUCAGUACUGUGGUGGGGGACCACACGGGAAUACGGCGUGCCGUAAGUCA